AGAGUUUGAUCCUGGCUCAGAACGAACGCUGGCGGCAUGCCUAACACAUGCAAGUCGAACGUGAAGCCGUCCUUCGGGAUGGUGGAAAGUGGCGCACGGGUGAGUAACGCGUGGGAACCUGCCCAACGGUACGGAAUAACCGCGGGAAACUGCGGCUAAUACCGUAUACGCCCCAUGGGGGAAAGAUUUAUCGCCGAUGGAGGGGCCCGCGUCGGAUUAGGUUGUUGGUAGGGUAACGGCCUACCAAGCCGACGAUCCGUAGUUGGUCUGAGAGGAUGAUCAGCCACACUGGGACUGAGACACGGCCCAGACUCCUACGGGAGGCAGCAGUGGGGAAUAUUGGACAAUGGGCGCAAGCCUGAUCCAGCAAUGCCGCGUGAGUGAAGAAGGCCCUAGGGUUGUAAAGCUCUUUCACCGGGGAAGAUAAUGACGGUACCCGGAGAAGAAGCCCCGGCUAACUCCGUGCCAGCAGCCGCGGUAAUACGGAGGGAGCUAGCGUUGUUCUCAAUUACUGGCAGUAAAGCGCGCGUAAGCGGCCAUGCAAAUUGGGCGUGAAAACGCGGGGCUCAACCCCGGAAUUGCGUUCAAAACUGCAUGGCUCGAGAACGACAGAAGUGAGUGGAAUUCCCAGCGGACAUGUGAAAUUCGA
rnacentral:rRNA from 1 species